GUCUUUUUGUAAUUAAAUUUAAAGUUUAACCUGCCCAUUGAUAAUUUAAAAGGCUGCGGUAUAUUGACCGUACAAAGGUAGCAUAAUCAUUAGCUUUUUAAUUGAAAGCUUGUAUGAAUGGUUGAAUGAGAAAUUAACUUUUUUUUUUAAAAAUAUGAAUUUUACUUUUUAGUUAAAAGGCUAAAAUUAAUAUAAAAGACGAGAAGACCCUAUAGAGUUUAAUAAUAUAUUUAUUUUAUUAUAAAGGAUUAUUAAAAUUAAUAUAAAAAAAAUUAUUUUAUUGGGGUGAUAGUAAAAUUUAAUUAACUUUUAUUUAUUUUUAAACAUUAAUAUAUGAUUUAUUUGAUCCAAUUUUAUUGAUUAAAAAAUUAAAUUACCUUAGGGAUAACAGCGUAAUUUUUUUUUAAGUUCUUAUUAAUAAAAUAUUUUGCGACCUCGAUGUUGGAUUAAAAUUAAACUUUAGGUGCAGCAGCUUAAAAUUUUAAGUCUGUUCAACUUUUAAAUUCUU
rnacentral:rRNA from 1 species